AACAACUUGUCAGGUGGUGCAUUGGAGACUGAUGUGUUCCUGUCCUGUCUUUUCAUAAUACUAUUGCAGAUCAACAUAAAAGCCUAAAAGACAGCCGUGGUGUCGCUCUUCAUUUCUUGGUUCUCCUGUGGUGCAUAAGAGACCCGCUACAUACAUGUAGUUAUUACCAUGCAUGAGAUGCCCACAUUGUAGCCUGUACUUUUAAUAUAUUCACUGAUCAUGUACUUUACCUCGGCAAAUAAAGGUGCAGUUCAGCUGUUCUCCCCCUUCUCUCUCCCCCUCCCUCCCCCUUCUCUCUCCCCCUCUCUCCCUUCUCUCUCCCCAACUCUCCCUCCUCUCUCCACCUCUCCCCUUCUCUCUCCGUCUCUUGCUCCAUCACUUCUACAACCGGUACUUCCAGUAGUGCCGCAUUGAGCUUCAAUGAACAUUUCCAGCUAUCAAAACCACCACCACUACCCCCUGGACCAGCCACGGACUACCCAGGUUUGAUGCCCCAAAGUCCGCCUCCACCUCAUCCACCACCCAUUGAGCCAGUGGAAGCAGUGGAGAGACACCAGUGCUCAACACCCUCUCCCCAGGUUUAGGUGACCCUAGCCAUGCUAGUGAUGGGAAUGGAGGGGCAUCUAUGAUGGAUGCCAGCAUCAUGACUUCCACAAGCUGUCUGUUCAAGCCAAGCCUACCACCACCACCACUUCCACCAAGGGGGGCCCUGUCGUCCGGCCUCUGCCCAUGCUCGGUGAGGGUUCCCAGGCACAGCUCCGGCCACCGAUGGCCUCCCCUUGAUGUCUCUCUCCAACCCCCUCUACAGAGAGUCUAUGAUGACUUCUCACAACUGUGCCAACACAGCCUCCUCCUCUUCCUCCUCUUCCUCCUCUUCCUCCUCCUUCGCUCCAGUCUUCCCUCCAUCCCUGCCCUGCGCUAACUGUGGCUACAUCCAGGGCUCUACAGCCCCCACUACCUCACGGCUGCCCCAAAGAGGACAGGCUAGUCCGGAGAGACUCUACUACCUCCAUCCCCUCUAUAUAUCCACAAAGAGAGAUCUAAAUUGACAAAUAAAGGUGGCCAACAGGGGGCAGCAGAGGCACACCAUUCCAUAACAACAGCUAUACUUGUAGGAGUGUUUACAUUUUGUGAUGUAACCCCAUAAUUAGGUUGGGGGUUUUUUCCCAAAUGGCACCCUACUCCCUAUAUAGUGCACUACUUCUAACCAGGAACCAUGGGGCUCUUGUCAAAGAUAGUACACUAUAUAGGGAAGGUUCUGACAUAUGUAAUAUUACUGCUACAGUAUAUUGGUGGGGCUUACUAUGUGGUUAUCUGGAUCUGUAGCCAGUGGGUGGGGUUUACUAUGUGGUUAUCUGGAUCUGUAGCCAGUGGGUGGGGCUUACUAUGUGGUUGUCUGGAUCUGUAGGCAGUGGGUGGGGCUUACUAUGUGGUUGUCUGGAUCUGUAGCCAGUGGGUGGGGCUUACUAUGUGGUUGUCUGGAUCUGUAGCCAGUGGGUGGGGCUUACUAUGUGGUUGUCUGGAUCUGUAGCCAGUGGGUGGGGCUUACUAUGUGGUUGUCUGUAUCUGUAGCCAGUGGGUGGGGCUUACUAUGUGGUUGUCUGGAUCUGUAGCCAGUGGGUGGGGCUUACUAUGUGGUUGUCUGGAUCUGUAGCCAGUGGGUGGGGCUUACUAUGUGGUUGUCUGGAUCUUGCAGGCAGUGGGUGGGGCUUACUAUGUGGUUGUCUGGAUUUGUAGCUAGUGGGUGGGGCUUACUAUGUGGUUGUCUGGAUCUGUAGCCAAUGGCUUGUUAUUGGCUACCCAUAUAUUAACAUCUCAUACAGUAAGGCAUAGCAAUAGUAGCAUAGGAAUCCUGUAUAUAUGAUGUAAUAACCUAAUAAUGAAUAUUAUAUUGUCCUGACUGUCCUGAUCAGGUCAGGUUACAGGAGACCACAACACUACAGAUUAUCUCUCAACCCCCAACAGAGGAGGAGAGAUCUAGGGGUCUGAAGAUGUGGGGGUUUUAUGACCCCUCACGCCCAUGAUAGUCUUAGGCCACAGAGAAAUUCCUUUGUCCUCUCACUGUGGAGAACCUGCCUCAGAACAUUAAACAUGCAAUAAAGGGACUUUGGAACAAUGGUUUCCGUCAGCCACAAGGGUGGUUAUGACGAUAGAUGGGAUAUGAAAAUGUGUGUAAUUUUUGUUUUGUUAUUAAAGGUUAAUAGAUGACGUUAUUACGAAAACAUUGUACCUUUAAGAGUUUUCACAGUAUAUGCCUGAUGUUUAUACAUUGUACGUUGUGUGGAAAAUGUCCAAAUCAAAGAGAAUGUUUUGGUAAAGAUGAAAUGUGAAGUUAGUUGUCUAAAAUUGGAUUUGGGUAAAAUCUAGACCUCCAGCCUCUUAACUUGGUCCGCCCAGAGAAUUGCCCUAAAGGCGGUUACGCCCACUUCUGACCCGAGGGUAUUAGACAUGGGAGUUAAGAAUUAACAUACAGACUAAGUGACCCAAGCUGCAGCAGAGGUCUAAAAAGUCAACGAACCCCAAAACGCAACACAAGGAAGAAGACAAAUAAAUAUUCUUCUACCCAUGCUAUGGAUGAGUAGCUGUGUCUAAGCGGGUGAACUCAAGCCGGAACACCUGGCCUACACACCUGGCCUACUGGUAUCUACGCUGUUUCAUUCCUACGUUGUGAGCUCUGAGCUACAGACCUGGCUGUCCUCAGACGACCCCUUUCAGAGCCAGGGCGAGGAAUCAGACCACUAAGCCAAAAGGACACUGACAUCGUGAGGACAACCAGAGAGUUGCGCCGGAGAAGUGCGUCAUUGAGAAGCCUAAACGACCCACGCGGAGCUUCCCAUCUGAGACCUCCAACACGUAAUUACAUCAUUAUAUUCUGACCCAUAAGAGCGGCAGUUCGGGGCAAGGCUAGGGUUAAAAUAAGCAUAGCUGACAAAUGCACCCAAAUGUAUAUUUCUCUUGUGUACUUUCUCUUGUUCUCUCUCUUUUAAAUCCCGUUUUGGGUAACACGCGCCAUAGUGUGUUGGCCCGUUAUACUAAGUCCUAAUCAAUAGCCUAGACUGUGUUU
rnacentral:lncRNA from 1 species